UACGGAGGAUGCGAGCGUUAUUCGGAUUUAUUGGGUUUAAAGGGUGCGUAGGCGGGCUGUUAAGUCAGCGGUCAAAUGUCGGGGCUCAACCCCGGCCUGCCGUUGAAACUGGCAGACUUGAGUUGGCGAGAAGUACGCGGAAUGCGCGGUGUAGCGGUGAAAUGCAUAGAUAUCGCGCAGAACCCCGAUUGCGAAGGCAGCGUGCCGUGCCGCCACUGACGCUGAGGCACGAAAGCGCGGGGAUCGAACAGG
rnacentral:rRNA from 1 species